rnacentral:lncRNA from 1 species
CUCCCUCAGACAUCCCAAUCGAGCUUCAGCUGACAAAUCUGAACUCCCUGGCAAGCCAUGACGAGGGAUGCUACCCUGCUCCACUCUCUGCAAUGGAUUCCACGCGGCUCCACCCCUCUCUGACAAGCCACGAUAAGAGUUGCCAUCCUGCUCCACUCUGCAGUGGAUUCCAUGCGGCUCCACCACUCUCUGGCAAGUCCCGACAACGGACACCACUCCACUCUCCGCUACAAGCUCCACGUGGCCCUGAACGACCCCUGACGCCACUACUCUCCGUAACAAACUCUACACGGCUCUGAGCGGUCCACUACCAGACGGUU